UCAAUAAUUUAUUUACUAUAUUCUAGAAGAAUGGUGAAGUGGCGUGCGUUGUGCUGGAAAUUGUGCCGUAACCUAUCAAGCCGCGUUGUGGGCGUAGUCAUUAGAAAUCUUCAUUAUGAACAGGGCCAGUCUACGAAAGAGUACCCGAGGGAGUACUUCUAUUUUAUUGACCAUCAAGGAAUGCUCUUUCUAGAUGAUUCCAGAAUGAAGAAUUUCACGUCAUGCUUCAAAG